rnacentral:rRNA from 1 species
GGAGAGCUUGCUCUCUGGGUGGCGAGUGGCGGACGGGUGAGGAAUACAUCGGAAUCUACUUUUUCGUGGGGGAUAACGUAGGGAAACUUACGCUAAUACCGCAUACGACCUACGGGUGAAAGCAGGGGAUCUUCGGACCUUGCGCGAUUGAAUGAGCCGAUGUCGGAUUAGCUAGUUGGCGGGGUAAAGGCCCACCAAGGCGACGAUCCGUAGCUGGUCUGAGAGGAUGAUCAGCCACACUGGAACUGAGACACGGUCCAGACUCCUACGGGAGGCAGCAGUGGGGAAUAUUGGACAAUGGGCGCAAGCCUGAUCCAGCCAUACCGCGUGGGUGAAGAAGGCCUUCGGGUUGUAAAGCCCUUUUGUUGGGAAAGAAAUCCAGCUGGUUAAUACCCGGUUGGGAUGACGGUACCCAAAGAAUAAGCACCGGCUAACUUCGUGCCAGCAGCCGCGGUAAUACGAAGGGUGCAAGCGUUACUCGGAAUUACUGGGCGUAAAGCGUGCGUAGGUGGUCGUUUAAGUCCGUUGUGAAAGCCCUGGGCUCAACCUGGGAACUGCAGUGGAUACUGGGCGACUAGAAUGUGGUAGAGGGUAGCGGAAUUCCUGGUGUAGCAGUGAAAUGCGUAGAGAUCAGGAGGAACAUCCAUGGCGAAG